GGGAGGAAAAGAAACUAACAAGGAUUUUCUUAGUAGCGGCGAGCGAAAAGAAAAUAGUUCAGCACUAAGUCACUUUGUCUUUAUGGCAAAUGUGAGAUGCAGUGUAUGGAAUGUCAAAUUUCUAGUAUGAGAAAUUAACGAUUUAAGUCCUUCUUAAAUGAGACCAUUUACCCAAAGAGGGUGCCAGGCCCGUAUAACGUUAAUGAUUACUAGAUGGCAUUUCCAAAGAGUCGUGUUGCUUGAUAGUGCAGCACUAAGUGGGUGGUAAACUCCAUCUAAAGCUAAAUAUAACCAUGAGACCGAUAGUAAACAAGUACCGUGAGGGAAAGUUGAAAAGAACUCUGAAUAGAGAGUUAAAUAGUACGUGAAACUGCUUAGAGGUUAAGCCCGAUGAACCUGAAUAUCCGUUAUGGAAAAUUCAUCUUUAUGAUUUUAAUAUUUAUAAUAUUAUAAUAAUGGUGUGCAUUUUUUCUAUAAAGGACAUUGUAAUCUAUUAACAUAAAUAUAUUUAUCAUAAGAUCAUUUGCGUAAGUUUAUUCAAAUUAUUUUGCUUGCAUUUUAAUAUCGAAUAAAUGCUUUUGAUUUGAUAAAGUGUUGAUAGAUUUAUUAUAUAUAGUGCUUAAAUAUUUAUAUUUUAUAAUAGCAUAUUGAUCAUUGAUCUUUAUGUUUAUUAUAUGCACUUAUAUGAUUAACAAUGCGAAAGAUUCAGGAUACCUUCGGGACCCGUCUUGAAACACGGACCAAGGAGUCUAACAUAUUUGCAAGUUAUUGGGAAUAAAAACCUAAUAGCGUAAUUAACAUAACUUUAUUUAAUGGGAUUAGUUUUUAGCCUAUUUAUAGUCUAUUAAUUCAAUCCCGGGGCGUUCUAUACAGUUAUGUAUAAUAGUAUUUAUAUUAUUUAUACCUCUAACUAGAGCGUACCUUGAGCAUAUAUGCUGUGACCCGAAAGAUGGUGAACUAUACUUGAUCAGGUUGAAGUCAGGGGAAACCCUGAUGGAAGACCGAAACAG
rnacentral:rRNA from 1 species